AAAUGAAAUACAAUCCAGGAAAUGCAUCAACAUACUCAUGCUCCUUUGAAGGGAGUAGUUAGAUACUCAAAAUCUGAUAGAAAAUGUCACAAGUUCAUGUAGACAGAUUCAGGCACCACCCUGCUUCUUUUUAAGGCUUUUCUUUCAACACUUCCCUUCAUUGCAAUUAAUCUCUGCACAUUUAGUCUCCAUCAGAAAAAAACAGGUUAUAGUCACUAACAAUAUACUGGAUAACACAUUUUCCAUUCACAUCUCUGGUACGUGUAAGUCUGGUGGCCGACAUUCUUCCAGCUCUUGGUAGAACAUGGAAGCUACUCAUCAUCUUCACAGAUCCAGUUUUUCCUUGAUGGAACUGACGGUCACAGGAAAGCGUUUAUUGUAUAAACGAUUUUGAUUUUGUGAUAAAUAAAAUGGAUUUGACUUGG